CAUCCUCAGUUCGGACUGGGGUCUGCAACCCGACCCCACGAAGCUGGAUUCGCUAGUAAUCGCGCAUCAGCCAUGGCGCGGUGAAUACGUUCCCGGGCCUUGUACACACCGCCCGUCAAGCCAUGAAAGCCGGGGGGCGCCUGAAGUCCGUGACCGCGAGGGUCGGCCUAGGGUGAAACCGGUGAUUGGGGCUAAGUCGUAACAAGGUAUC
rnacentral:rRNA from 1 species